GUUCUUCAUCUGAGCUGAAUCAUGUUCAACGUCACAGUGUCGUGUUCAGAGAUUCAGACUCCUGUGGGGUUUGUGUACGUGAUUCUGUCUGUUUUACUGAAUAAAACACACAAUCCUGACUGUGAUCAGAGCUGGUAUUCACAGGAUGAUCGUCUGAUAGCAGAUCCAUCAGAUCCUCAAACACUGAUUGAUCCUGUGACGUCUGUCUCUUCUGAUCGUCUCGUCACGUCUCAGUGUGUGAAUCUGAAUCAUGAGAUCAUCUGUCACGCUGCAGGAUUCAGAUGUGACACCGUGUUCAGAGUGUUUAAUGACUCCAUCAGUGAAUCGACUCAAGCUCCAGAAUCACAUCAGUUGUGCUGGAUUCCUGCUCUGAUCUUCAUUGUUCUUCUGGCUUUAAUCUGUUUCUUGCUGCAUAAAAGGAUCUUCAGGGAUCCUGAAUCUGUUGUCCGCGUGAAGCUCAGAUCUGAUGAAUCUGAUUCGCUGAAACAAUCUGAAUCUGAGCUUAUCAACAGCUCCAUGUCCAGAGGAUGA
rnacentral:lncRNA from 1 species